UGGGGAAUUUUGGACAAUGGGCGAAAGCCUGAUCCAGCAAUGCCGCGUGUGUGAAGAAGGCCUUCGGGUUGUAAAGCACUUUUGUCCGGAAAGAAAUCCUUGGCUCUAAUACAGUCGGGGGAUGACGGUACCGGAAGAAUAAGCACCGGCUAACUACGUGCCAGCAGCCGCGGUAAUACGUAGGGUGCAAGCGUUAAUCGGAAUUACUGGGCGUAAAGCGUGCGCAGGCGGUUUGCUAAGACCGAUGUGAAAUCCCCGGGCUCAACCUGGGAACUGCAUUGGUGACUGGCAGGCUAGAGUAUGGCAGAGGGGGGUAGAAUUCCACGUGUAGCAGUGAAAUGCGUAGAGAUGUGGAGGAAUACCGAUGGCGAAGGCAGCCCCCUGGGCCAAUACUGACGCUCAUGCACGAAAGCGUGGGGAGCAAACAGGAUUAGAUACCCUGGUAGUCCACGCCCUAAACGAUGUCAACUAGUUGUUGGGGAUUCAUUUCCUAGUAACGUAGCUAACGCGUGAAGUUGACCGCCUGGGGAGUACGGUCGCAAGAUUAAACUU
rnacentral:rRNA from 1 species